AUUGAGACGCAUAAUGACGCAUGCUCCAGCCAUUAUUAAAGUGAUCCUGGGAGAUAACAGCAGUCAAAGACUGAACUUUCAAAAUGGACUUCCAGAUUCUGUCAGUGAACUUGUUACCGAGGUACAAAGACAGUGUGGCAUUAACACUAACUUUAGGCUUCAGUUUAUGGAUGCACUAUUUGGAAAUGAGUUCCUGAACCUCACUUCAGUUAAUGAAAUACAGGACAGAGGGACCGUCAAACUAAUCCCCAUAACACAGGCCUCGGCUCCACAGUGUGCUGAUAUCCCUUCAACUUCAGAGACUGCUUUAUGCAAUCCCUCAGUGGAUGAAACCUCAUCCAUGUCUAGUGUGUGUGUUGACACUGACACACUCUCCACAACAGUUUUUGAGACAUCCAGCUCUAGACAAUUUUGGCCCACCUUCUUCCAUGUCCCUCAGUUUUCCUUUGAUGCAGAGCUGAAACUUGAGCGAGGCAAUGCAGCAUACAAAGAGAAGGGUACAUUUCUUAUUCCAGAUCCUAAACUGAAGUCAAACAUUCUUGAAGGCCUGGUUCAAGAAAUUGUCAAAUACAAAGUUUAUGCCACUGAUAAGGAGUUCAACAUCGUUGGGGAGGCCCUUAUCUCUAAACAUCCUUGUCUCACCGAAAAAGGCUCCCUGACAGGAUAUGCUGGUUGGAAAGCUAGCUUAAAGAAUAAACUCGCAAUUUACCGCACUCACUUGAGAAAACUGGGAUGCCCUGAGGUACUUGUAAAUUCUGUGAAGCACAAACCAGCAGACAAAGCAAAUGCUGCUGCUGCCAUCAAAAAACCACGGCGUUCUGAAGUAAACUACUGCCCCCCUCAUCCCACCGGAGAAUCUGAUGAGAGCCUUGAGAAUCUGAGAGUGGCACUUCUUUCAGAGGUGAAGAAAAACAACAACAGGGAGGUGAUUAGGAUGAAAAUGAGAAGACAUUUUCCCAUAGAAGAUAUGAAGUGGUUCGUGACACACCCAUGAUCCAAGACUUCAAGGCAAGAUGGCCGGCUCUCUUUGAUGUAAGCGAGAUAAAUGCUGAGUUUAAGCGCAUUACCACCGUGGCCCUGCAGUCCAGGUUUUUAUCACAGAUCGAUAUGCUGUCUGACAAACUUUUAAAGGUAUUUCAGAAGCGAGGAGGGCAAAUAGGAAGAAGACUGCAGAGCAUCAUGGAACCCAUGGCUCAAGAUGAUGGCGUCGAUGUUGGGCGAGAGUGUAUUAUCAAGGGGCUCUCGUAUACCUCAAUGAGGACCUGGGCAAUUUGGUGAAAGAGUAUGUGGCUGCUGAUGAAGCCUUCAUCCAAAAUUCCAUUGAGGAAACCACAGUGGGAAUCUACAUUCUAAAAUCUCAGGACAGAUCUGAGGACAUUGGGAUUGUCCUCGAAGGCCAGAAAGUCUUACAAGGCUUGGACAACUUUGCAUUAGCUACAGCAAUGCUUUUUGGUCUAAUGUAUGCACUUAAUCUGAACUACCCACCUGAAAUGAAAUUUACCUUUGAAGUACUUCAGAAGAUCGUCAUGGAGCUGGAAGGCUGCACGUUAUCAGUGAAAGCUCAAGUUCUCAGAAACAGACUCUUUGAGUGAGGUGUUUCCAUGGGACGGCAGGAAGACAUGCAAGGUAGUUUCCUGCCUCUUGGAAUGAGGACCAUUUUUUGUUUUUCAUAUCACACACUCGCAAAGAGAACCUACAUCACACAUACAGCGUAAACGGUUAAACAAUGUAGGUUGGCCACUUUAUUUUGUGGUUUGGAUGUUUGUUUGUUUUGUUUUUUUUGUUUGUUGUUUUUUAUUCUCCCUUGGUCAAAUUUGAUUGGUUAAAAGGACCUCCACCCAGAACUGAAAAAUACUUGAAGCUACAGUGAUUUGACUCGUCUUAACUGCUUUUAAAACUGAAAACAAAAUUAAGGGAAGCUUUGGACUACUUCAUGCUCUUCAUUGCUGUUCACCUCUUGCACUACACCUGUUUGAUGGUGUCUCGUCUUUUACUUAAUGAUAGAGGAAAUGUUGUUUUUCUUAAUUAGUUCAUUGAAUUUAAGCUUUUUUUUUUUUUUUUACUUCACACAGAAAGCUUAUUUUUUGGUAGCCCAUACUCUGUGAAAAAUUUAUUUUUCUGUUAAAAAUAACAGUGAUUUGUCUUGCCUUACUACUUUUAAAACUGAGAAAAAAGUAAAAAAAACAUCAAGUGAAGCUUGGAAGCUUUGGACUACUUGUUACUUAUGACUGUUCAUCUUUUUCACUACACCUGUUUGAUGGUGAAUUGUUGCAUUUUUACUGUAUCUGAUCUGGUCUAUUGACAGGAAAUGUCGCCUUUUCCACUACACCUGUUUGAUGGUGUCUCGUCUUUUACUUAAUAAUAGGAGGGUGUUGUUUUUCUUAUUCAUUGAAUUUAAGCUUUUUUUUUAACAUCACAGAGAAAGCUUAUUUUUUUUGUAGCCCAUACUCUGAAAAAUUAAUUUCUGUUAAAAAUAACAGUGAUUUGUCUUGCUUGGAAGCUUUGGACUAGUUACUUAAUACUGUUCAUCUUUUUCACUACACCUAUUUGAUGGUGAAUUGUUGCAUUUUACUGUAUCUGAUCUGGUCUAUUGACAGGAAAUGUCAGUUCAUAGUCAUCCAUUCAUCCCAUACUCUGAAAAAUUAAUUGUACUGUUAAAAAUAUACAGUGAUUUGAUUUGUCUUACUGCUUUUAAAACUGAAAACAAAAUCGUCAAGGGAAGCUUUGGACUACUUCAUGCUCAUCAUUACUGUUUGCCUUUUCCACUACACCUGUUUGAUGGCGUCUCAUUUUGUACUCUGACAGUGGAUAUGUUGUUAUUGUUCAUGAAAUUUAUGCUAUUUUUAACUUCACACAGAGAAGGCUGUAUUUCUGUAUCCAA